CAUUCCAUAUUUUUAUUUUUAUUAAGUUUUAUUCUUGUUGUAGGCUUUGUGGAAUUUUCUUCAAAGCCGUCACCUAUUUAUGAAGGAUUAGGGCUAAUUAUUAGUGGGGGAUAGGUUGCGGUAUUGUAUUAAAUUUUGGUGGGGUUUUUGUAGGUUUAAUUUUGCUGGCUGGCUUAAUGGUUUUUUAAAUUUAUUUGGAGGGAAUGAUCGUUGGUUUUGGGUACAUGACAGUGAUAGCUAUGGAGGAGUACCUUGAGGCUUGGGGGUC
rnacentral:lncRNA from 1 species